rnacentral:rRNA from 1 species
AUUGAACGCUGGCGGCAGGCCUAACACAUGCAAGUCGAGCGCGCGGCGGACGGGUGAGUAAUGUAUGGGGACUGCCCGAUAGAGGGGGAUAACUACUGGAAACGGUAGCUAAUACCGCAUACUCUCGGAUAACCACUAUGUGAUUGGCUAGUAGGUGAGGUAAUGUCUCACCUAGGCGACGCUCCCUAGCUGGUCUGAGAGGAUGAUCAGCCACACGGGGACGGAGACACGGCCCAUACUCCUACGGAGGCAGCAGUGGGGAAUAUUGCACAAUGGGCGCAAGCCUGAUGCAGCCAUGCCGCUGGUAUGAAGAAGGCCCUAGGGUUGUAAAGUACUUUCAGUCGGGAGGCGUUACCGACAGAAGAAGCACCGGCUAACUCCGUGCCAGCCGCCGCGGUAAUUC